GAUGAACGCUGGCGGCGUGCCUAAUACAUGCAAGUCGAGCGAACAGACGAGGAGCUUGCUCCUCUGACGUUAGCGGCGGACGGGUGAGUAACACGUGGAUAACCUACCUAUAAGACUGGGAUAACUUCGGGAAACCGGAGCUAAUACCGGAUAAUAUAUUGAACCGCAUGGUUCAAUAGUGAAAGACGGUUUUGCUGUCACUUAUAGAUGGAUCCGCGCCGCAUUAGCUAGUUGGUAAGGUAACGGCUUACCAAGGCAACGAUGCGUAGCCGACCUGAGAGGGUGAUCGGCCACACUGGAACUGAGACACGGUCCAGACUCCUACGGGAGGCAGCAGUAGGGAAUCUUCCGCAAUGGGCGAAAGCCUGACGGAGCAACGCCGCGUGAGUGAUGAAGGUCUUCGGAUUGUAAAACUCUGUUAUUAGGGAAGAACAAAUGUGUAAGUAACUAUGCACGUCCUGACGGUACCUAAUCAGAAAGCCACGGCUAACUACGUG
rnacentral:rRNA from 1 species